GUAGUCAUGGCCGGGUGAUUAAGGCAAUGGACUAGAAAUCCAUUGCGAUCCUCCCGCGUAUUUUCGAAUCCUACCGACUACG